rnacentral:tRNA from 1 species
UGGUAAGAAGAGGAGUCAAACCCCUGUCAAUGGGGCUACGACCCACCGCCUGCACGUUCGGCCAUCUUACC